UGUAGCGGGAAAGCGUAUUAUGCACACCCCUCGCCGCUGAGAAAAAGCGAAGCGGCACUGCUCUUUAACAAUUUAUCAGACAAUCUGUGUGGGCACUCGAAGAUACGGAUUCUUAACGUCGCAAGACGAAAAAUGAAUACCAAGUCUCAAGAGUGAACACGUAAUUCAUUACGAAGUUUAAUUCUUUGAGCAUCAAACUUUUAAAUUGAAGAGUUUGAUCAUGGCUCAGAUUGAACGCUGGCGGCAGGCCUAACACAUGCAAGUCGAACGGUAACAGGAA
rnacentral:rRNA from 1 species